GAUGAACGCUGGCGGCGUGCCUAAUACAUGCAAGUCGAGCGAACAGACGAGGAGCUUGCUCCUUUGACGUUAGCGGCGGACGGGUGAGUAACACGUAGGUAACCUACCUAUAAGACUGGGAUAACUUCGGGAAACCGGAGCUAAUACCGGAUAAUAUUUCGAACCGCAUGGUUCGAUAGUGAAAGAUGGCUUUGCUAUCACUUAUAGAUGGACCUGCGCCGUAUUAGCUAGUUGGUAAGGUACAGGCUUACCAAGGCAACGAUACGUAGCCGACCUGAGAGGGUGAUCGGCCACACUGGAACUGAGACACGGUCCAGACUCCUACGGGAGGCAGCAGUAGGGAAUCUUCCGCAAUGGGCGAAAGCCUGACGGAGCAACGCCGCGUGAGUGAUGAAGGUCUUCGGAUCGUAAAACUCUGUUAUUAGGGAAGAACAAACGUGUAAGUAACUGUGCACGUCUUGACGGUACCUAAUCAGAAAGCCACGGCUAACUACGUG
rnacentral:rRNA from 1 species